AGUGAACGCUGGCGGUAGGCCUAACACAUGCAAGUCGAACGGCAGCACAGUAAGAGCUUGCUCUUACGGGUGGCGAGUGGCGGACGGGUGAGGAAUACAUCGGAAUCUACUUUUUCGUGGGGGGUAACGUAGGGAAACUUACGCGAAUACCGCAUACGACCUACGGGUGAAAGCAGGGGAUCUUCGGACCUUUCGCGAUGGAAUGAGCCGAUGUCGGAUUAGCUAGUUGGCGGGGUAAAGGCCCACCAAGGCGACGAUCCGUAGCUGGUCUGAGAGGAUGAUCAGCCACACUGGAACUGAGACACGGUCCAGACUCCUACGGGAGGCAGCAGUGGGGAAUAUUGGACAAUGGGCGCAAGCCUGAUCCAGCCAUACCGCGUGGGUGAAGAAGGCCUUCGGGUUGUAAAGCCCUUUUGUUGGGAAAGAAAAGCAGCAGGUUAAUACCCCGCUGUUCUGACGGUACCCAAAGAAUAAGCACCGGCUAACUUCGUG
rnacentral:rRNA from 1 species